rnacentral:tRNA from 1 species
GAACGUAUGGCUUAGUGGUCAGAGCGCUUUGACAGUUUCCAAGAGGUGUGGAUUGAAAUCCUGCUACGUUCA